AUUGGUUUCUAUUUUUUGCAUAAAAAUAAGAAAUUUCCACUUUUAACUCUAUUUGAUAGAAAAGAGAAUACCGAACGAAAACAUCGAUACAUAGGUUAUGAUGAUGAGGAUAAAUAUGGAGGGAGCGAUCGUGAGAGCACGACUAGACGACUUACUACACUACAUCAUAAACCAAAUUUAAUUUUUAAAUUGUAUAAAAUGAAAAAAAAAGAAAGAAAAAGAAAAAAUGACGAAAGAAUGGAUUCAAAAGAAAGGCAAAUAAAAGGAAGUUACAUUUUAAGCGAUUACAAACGUAAUAGGAAAAAAAAAAGGACUUUAUGUGUUCAGGAACAAAACAUAAGUUCAUAUUCUUUCAUUUAUUCAAAAGAAAAAGAUAGUGAUAGGGAUGAUAUUAGAAGGAGGGAAAAGGGUGACCUAUAUUAUGCUAAUAGGGGUACUAGCAGUAGUAGUAACAUCCUUGGAAUGAGUGAGAUCAAGGGAAUGAGUGAGAUCAAGGGAAUGAGUGAGAGUAAUGGAGUGAGUGACAGUAAUGGAGUGAGUGACAGUAAUGGGGUGAGAAGUAUAAAAAAUACAGACGUUCUUGUUAAUUCGUCAAAGCACGAACGUAGUAGUAAAAAGUACGGCCUUACCAUUUUUGUUCAUAAUCAAUUUGAAACGUCUAAAAAAACUGUUUAUAUAAAAAUUAAUAAAAAUAUAUUAAUGACACUAGACGUGAAAAAGAUAUAUAACCUAAUAGACAUCGAUAUAGAUCACAUUCCCAAUAGUAGAAACUAUUUAGAAAAUCUAAAAAAAAAAGAAUUUAGACAUAUUUACUAUUUUUAUAUUUUAGGGAGUUCUUAUUUAAAUAAUUUGUUUUUUCCAUCAAACGAGAUGUUUAUUGAUAUGAAUAUAAAAUGUGUUCAUAACAUAUACUUUAAUUUCAUUUUAAAUCAAAACCAUUCUUUAUUACUGUGUACAAAUAAUAUAUGUUAUAACUCUUUUUUUUUUACAAAUGUGGAUAUAAAAGAGAGUAUAAAUAAGUUGGCAAUGUUUGCUGUUAUGCAUUCUUCGGGUACUAAUAUGAAUGAUGGUAUGCAAGAGCAGGGGCAUGAAAAGGGGCAUGAAAAGGGGUAUGAAAAGGGGUAUGAAAAGGAACAUAAACACGAACAAGAAAAUGAACAUACACAGGAACAUAAGCAGAAACGUAAAGACGAACGUAAAGGCGAACGUAAAGACGAACAUAAACAGGAACGUGAACAGGAACGUGAACAAGAAGAGAGAGCAUAUAAUCAAACACAACAGAAAUUAUAUGCUCAAAAUGGAAAUCUGCCAAAUAAUACAAGUGAAUAUAAUACAAGAGAUAUGAACAGUUUCGAUGUAGAUGUUAGUAGACUAAGCAGAAACGGGAGUCAAAACAGAAGCAUCAGCAGAGACAGUUUAAAAGAUGUAUCAGAUAAAAGUACAACCAAAAAUAACAACAACAUGAUGAUGAUGAUAAAUAAUAAUAAGGAUGUGGAAGAACCAAUAUUGAUGAGAAAACAUAACCCACCCGAUUUACUUUUUACUAGUAAUGUUAUAGAUAAAAAAGAUAAUAAUGAUGUAAUGGUUACAAA
rnacentral:lncRNA from 1 species